AUUGAACGCUGGCGGCAGGCCUAACACAUGCAAGUCGAGCGGAUGAAGGGAGCUUGCUCCUGGAUUCAGCGGCGGACGGGUGAGUAAUGCCUAGGAAUCUGCCUGGUAGUGGGGGAUAACGUCCGGAAACGGGCGCUAAUACCGCAUACGUCCUGAGGGAGAAAGUGGGGGAUCUUCGGACCUCACGCUAUCAGAUGAGCCUAGGUCGGAUUAGCUAGUUGGUGGGGUAAAGGCCUACCAAGGCGACGAUCCGUAACUGGUCUGAGAGGAUGAUCAGUCACACUGGAACUUAGAAACGGUCCCGACUCCUUAGGGAGGCAGCAGUUGGGAAUAUUUGACAAUGGGGGGAAGCCUUAUCCAGCCAUGCCGGGUGUUGUAAGAAGGUCUUCCGAUUGUAAAACACCUUAAGUUGGGAGGAAAGGCAGUAAGUUAAUACCUUGCUGUUUUGACGUUACCAACAGAAAAAGCACCGGCUAACUUCGUG
rnacentral:rRNA from 1 species